GGCUAGCUCAGUUGGUAGAGCAUGAGACUCUUGAUCUUAGGGUUGUGAGUUUGAGCCCCACACUGGCUA
rnacentral:tRNA from 1 species